GAAAUGCGAUACGUAAUGCGAAUUGCAAAACUUCGUGAAUCAUUAAAAUUUUGAACGCACAUUGCGCCCUCAGGAAAUGCCUGAGGGCAUACUUAUUUGAGUGUCUAUAUACCCCACUCAUCCCAGUGAUGUAUGUCAUGUAUGUUGCUGGAGAUGGAUUAUGGUUUUGAACGUUGCGCAAGUGACCUUCUUUACUUGAAUGUAUAUGGCAAGCGGGGACUUGUUUCCUGUUAAUUGGUCUGCCUGCUCUGGUGAGAAGUGCUUUAUGUACUGAUUAUUGGGGAUUGUGUGACAGAUUGGUUGACGGUGAAUGAGGUUCUGCAAACCUAACUUUCCAAACGACGUGGUUGUCAAAGGCCAUGUUGUCUGAAAGGGCAGGAAGUAUAUUGGAAGGAGCUGACAUGCGCUUUUUUGUGCAUGCUGGUUUUGGCUAGUGUAUUUCUGAGCUCUUUAAUCAAAUUGGAUCUCAAAUUAAGUAAGACUACCCGCUGAAUUUAAGCAUAUAAUUAAGCGGAGGAAAAGAAACUAACAAGGAUUCCUCU
rnacentral:rRNA from 1 species